GCCGCUCUGUGGAUGCUUCCAUCUGUAUCCAUUGCCGGCACCUGGUGAGGUCCAAGUCUCACCUCCUCCAGAAGGCCUCCCAGGACUGCUGGCCCCAGACACAGAACUCCCAAGGGAAGGCUCUUCCACUAAAAGUCCAGCUGCAGCGAUAAUGAUGAGUUUGGAGAGGGCUGCAGACCCUGAGGCAGGGGUUGGUGCAGGGGCUGGACCUGAAACUGGGUUCACACAACAAGCUCGGACUCCUCUUAACACUCCUGAUUGGUGACAUUAUGGGGUCUUGGAUGCCUCCUCCUCUCUGUCCCUCGUACUGCCCCUGCCACCUGGGACUCCACCAAGUUCCUUCUCCACCAGCCAUGAGGAGAGCCUGCCCAGGGGCCAGCACUCUCUCCCUGAGCCUUAGAACCAGGAGGAUUCUCACUGCUUCUAUGUCACAAUUCCGUCUCUAGAGCCUUUGAGGUCACUCCUGACGCUGACAUGGCUGUGAAGAGCUGGGUGCCAGGCAUUACUGCCUCCAAGGUUGCUUUGCGAGGAAUAGGUGGGGCAUCAGGAAGAAGCCAGUUGCAGGCAAGGCCUCUGCUGAUGCUGCUUUUUUCUCCUGUACCCAUCCAUGGGAGGGAGCUGUGAGAUGGCCUGGCAGAACCCGCUCUUGGACCCCACAGAAUGAGAGGCUCACCCUGCACAGGAACAUCCUGGGGCAGCAGGCUCAGCACAUUUUAAAUUUUGAGUAUGAACAAAGUAAACUUCAGGGUU
rnacentral:lncRNA from 1 species